ensembl:lncRNA
GACCACCCUAUCCUGCCUACCAGACAACCUGGGCACAAUGGAUCUUUUUAGAUGGCCUGCCGAAGAGGUGGACUCAAAGUAACAAAAUCAACAUGCUGCUGAAAUUCCUCCAACCUGGUGGAUUUUGCACAGCAGUUCCCUCAAGUGGACAUGUAUAGCAUAGAUUAUAUUGGCAUAAAUAUUGACUAUUAUUUGGGAUUUAAUCAAAUUACUCACCUGAAUAUCACAUAAACACAUUGAUCACUAACAACAGAAGGUGCUUAAAGGAACUUUAUGAAAAACAAAUUUGGUUACUGGGACAGGCUCAGUGUCCUGUUCUUGUGAUGUAAACUAGGCCUCUGAGCUCCUUAAAGUACCUUGGUUGAAUGUGGCAUCACAUCACUGAUGCAUUGCUGCCUUCUUUAAUAUCUAAUUAAGUUUCAGGCAUGAAGUUAAUGGUAGUUACUGAUACAUACUGCACUGUGCACGCUUUGCUAGAUUAAUUUGCACGCUUGUAGUUUGAAGAAUACAAAAAAAUGCUGUUGAUAUGAGCUAUUGCACAUCACAUGACGUAAAAAUUGUAGAAAACUGGAAUAAAUAAAUCCUGUAUUUAUUUAUUGACUUUUCUAUGUGCAAUUAAAUGCAGACAAGCAAUAGUUCUAAUGUUUAUGUUGAUGCCUGUGGCAUAGUAUAUCUAAAUGUUACUUAAACCUGAAAAUGCAUAGAAGCAUGCAUAGAAAAAAAGCAAGUGGUCUUCAUAUGAAGGUCUAAAUAAGGAGUAUUAAUAUACUGUUGGACUUAUUAUACUUUUCUGUAAAAAGGGCCCCAGGGGACCAAAAGGACCCAGAGGUGAGAGGGGUCCUAAAGGACCAGAUGGAAACCCCGGCAGACCUGGAUUUCCUGGGCCUCCUGGCCCCCCUGGCCCCCCUGGUCUUGGUGGAGUAAGUUUCCAUUUCAAGCAAAAACCUUUUCCAGAGACCUAAACCUGUAUAUUCCAUAGCGAUUGAGGGAUUAAAGCUUGCGGGUAGUUAUAUUUGAGACUCAUGAUUCUCCCAUUACCCCUUGACCCAGUCAUAUUUAACAUUUGACCUUUAA